UACGUAGGUGGCAAGCGUUGUCCGGAUUUAUUGGGUUUAAAGGGUGCGUAGGCGGCUUGAUAAGUCAGUGGUGAAAGCCGAUCGCUUAACGAUCGAACUGCCAUUGAUACUGCCAGGCUUGAGUAUAGUUGAGGUAGGCGGAAUUGACAGUGUAGCGGUGAAAUGCAUAGAUAUUGUCAAGAACACCAAUUGCGAAGGCAGCUUACUAAAGUAUAACUGACGCUGAGGCACGAAAAGUGCGGGGGAUCAAAACAGGG
rnacentral:rRNA from 1 species